UUUCCGUAGGUGAACCUGCGGAAGGAUCAUUAAUAAAUUUUUUUUGAAAUAAAAAAAAAAUAAUAAUCAUCCUACCCUUUGUGAAUUUGUUUGUUCGAAUAAUUUUUUAAAAUUAUUUAUUGUCUAUCCAAGUUGGAAAGUUGUAAAAGCUGAAGACUUGGAGCGGCAUAAAUAAAUUUAAAGACUUUUUUCUAAAAUUAAACUUUUUGUAUUCAUUUGUCUAAAAUAAUUUUUAUAAUAUAUAAAAACAACUUUUGACAAUGGAUCUCUUGGUUCUCGCAACGAUGAAGAACGCAGCAAAAUGCGAUAAGUAAUGUGAAUUGCAGAAUACGUGAAUCAUCGAAUCUUCGAACGCAUAUUGCACUUUUUUAGUUUACUAAAAAGUAUGUCUGUUUGAGUAUCAGUAAAAUAUUCUCAUAAAAUUUUUUAAUUUUAUGGUUAUGAGUGUUUUACAACGAUAAACAAGUUGUUUCACUUUAAAUUGAAUUUUUUGAAGAAAUUCUUUAAUUCAAAUUAAAUUGGAUAAAAUUUUCCCGUAAAAAGGAAUAACUAUACAAGUUUAAUAAGAAUUUAGUGAUUUCUUUUAUAGAAGGAAAUUUAUUAAAUAACUUGAUCUCAAAUCAGAUAGAGUACCCGCUGAACUUAAGCAUAUCAAUAAGCGGAGGAAAAGAAACUAACAAGGAUUCCCCUAGUAACGGCGAGUGAAGCGGGAAGAGCUCAAAUUUGAAAUCUUAAAGGGUUUCCCUUUACGAAUUGUAGUUUAAAGAAGUGUUUUCUGUUGAGGUUUUGGUAAAAGUUCUUUGGAAUAGGACAUCAUAGAGGGUGAGAAUCCCGUAUUUGACCUUUACUCUCAACUUUGUGAUACACUUUCAAAGAGUCGGAUUGUUUGGGAAUGCAGUCCAAAAUGGGUGGUAAAUUUCAUCUAAAGCUAAAUAUUGGCGAGAGACCGAUAGCGAACAAGUACCGUGAGGGAAAGAUGAAAAGAACUUUGAAAAGAGAGUUAAACAGUACGUGAAAUUGUCAAAAGGGAAGCGUUUGACACCAGUGUUGUUUUUCUGAAAAUCAAUUAAAGAACUGUUUAUGCUAAGUUGUUUAGACUUUAUCAGCUAACUGUUUAGUUUUGAGCUUUUCUUUAAUGCACUUUUCAGUUAACAAGUCAACAUCAAUUUCUUUUGCUGUAAAAAAGCUUGAGGAAGGUGGCUUGAGAUUCGUCUUAAGUGUUUAUAGCCUCUUGCCUAUGCAGUCGGAGAGAUUGAGGUCUGCAGCGUAGAUCCUUCGGGGCUAAAUGCAUUUGUGCUAAGUUAUAGCAUUUUAUAGACAACUUGUUGACUAUGAUUUGUCUUGUAGCUUACUCGCUUAUGUUAUUUUACCUACGCUUAGGAUGUUG
rnacentral:misc_RNA from 1 species